GACGAACGCUGGCGGCGUGCCUAAUACAUGCCAGUCGAACGCUUCUUUCCUCCCGAGUGCUUGCACUCAAUUGGAAAGAGGAGUGGCGGACGGGUGAGUAACACGUGGGUAACCUACCCAUCAGAGGGGGAUAACACUUGGAAACAGGUGCUAAUACCGCAUAACAGUUUAUGCCGCAUGGCAUAAGAGUGAAAGGCGCUUUCGGGUGUCGCUGAUGGAUGGACCCGCGGUGCAUUAGCUAGUUGGUGAGGUAACGGCUCACCAAGGCCACGAUGCACAGCCGACCUGAGAGGGUGAUCGGCCACACUGGGACUGAGACACGGCCCAGACUCCUACGGGAGGCAGCAGUAGGGAAUCUUCGGCAAUGGACGAAAGUCUGACCGAGCAACGCCGCGUGAGUGAAGAAGGUUUUCGGAUCGUAAAACUCUGUUGUUAGAGAAGAACAAGGACGUUAGUAACUGAACGUCCCCUGACGGUAUCUAACCAGAAAGCCACGGCUAACUACGUG
rnacentral:rRNA from 1 species